UAGGGAAUCUUCCGCAAUGGACGAAAGUCUGACGGAGCAACGCCGCGUGAGUGAAGAAGGAUUUCGGUUCGUAAAACUCUGUUGGUAGGGAAGAAAAAAUGUAUAGUAACGAUAUACAAAAGAGACGGUACCUAACCAGAAAGCCACGACUAACUACGUGCCAGCAGCCGCGGUAAUACGUAGGUGGCAAGCGUUGUCCGGAAUUAUUGGGCGUAAAGCGCGCGCAGGUGGUUUAGAAAGUCUGAUGUGAAAGCCCACGGCUCAACCGUGGAGGGUCAUUGGAAACUAAUAAACUUGAGUGCAGGAGAGAAAAGUGGAAUUCCUAGUGUAGCGGUGAAAUGCGUAGAGAUUAGGAGGAACACCGGUGGCGAAAGCGGCUUUCUGGCCUGCAACUGACACUGAGGCGCGAAAGCGUGGGGAGCAAACAGG
rnacentral:rRNA from 1 species